AAUAUACAAAUAAUCACAUUGUUAAAAAUAUCGGCAUUACUUAUAAGUGUUACGAAAAUAUUUUUAUGUUCUACUUAAAAUCGAGAAAGAAAAGAAACAGUGGAAGCCAUUAUGACUCCGCAAACGGUCAAUUAGCAGACUUUAUACUUAACUGUAAUAAACAACGUCAUCAGCAGAGAAGAAAUAACUGUCAUCUUUUAAUGGUAAUAAAAGAAUGGUAACCAUGCCUGCGUUAACCUUGGUGGGGCAUCAGUGAGAGAUGAUAGUGAUGAUGCCAGCAAUCAAGGGCCAAGGCACAGAACCCAGCAACCCGGUGGUAGUCGCCCUCGGUGAUGAAGCUGGCACAAAAAUGAUCAUCAUAAGACUUCCACCUGAGCCCUUUUUUGGAAUGUUAAGAAGACCUCUAUUAAUUCCGAAAUUGUUCUGCAAGGCAGAAGGCAACAAUACCGUUUUAAGUACGUGGGACACUCAGAAAGUUUUGCGACACUAAAAAAAAUGUUCUAUAGUCCGCCGCAGACACCUCGUUUACCUGAGAGCGCAUCAUUCGACGACGAAAUCUGUAUCCCUUUGAGCUGAUUUUUUAUUUUUGGGAAUAAGAAGAAGUCACACGGUGCUAGGUCAGGGCUGUAAGGAGGGUGACCCAGGAGUUUGACCGGUGUGCUGUCUAAGAAGUCCCUUGUAUUGAUUGCGGUGUGGGCGGGCGCAUUAUCGUGGUGGAGCAGUUAGCCCGCGACCAAACACAGGGCUCCGUGUUUGGUCGCUUGUUGCUCACAACAAAGAAAACUUCUGCCAAGCAUUUGGUAGUAUACCAUUAGGCGUAAAUGCUUCUUUGGUUUCGUAAAGGAAUUGAAGUAACCAGUCAAAUUGAAAAAGGUCGCGAUCAAAAUCUUCCCUCUGCUUCUGGGUCGCUUUACUUUCGUAGGCGUUGAUUCGUUUUGAAACACCCAAACUGUCAAUUGGCGCUUUGUUUCUGGAUCGUAUUGAUAAAUCCAGGAUUCAUCACCUGUAACGAUGUCGUAAACACGCCGAGACGAGCUUGCUUCAAAUUUGUUUAUCAUAUCAUGGCACCAUUCCACCCUUGCCUGUUUCUGAACAUCGGUGUGGUUGUGCGGCAUCCAGCGUGAAACUAUCCUCCGCACUAUGCACGUGUAGAAUCUCGUGAAGGCUUCCUGAUUCAAUCUGCAGUAUAUGCUGAAUCUCUUGGUAUGUAAUUUGUCUAUUGUCUUGGAUAAAAUUUUUCAUUACUAGCACGUUUUCUUCCGUAACAGCCGUCAAAGGGCGACCACUUCUUUCUUCAUUCCCCAAAGUUAGUCGACCGCGCUUAAAUUCAUUAUACCAAUGAUACACGGUUGCCUUAGAAGGGCCUUCAUUCAUGAAUGCCAUUUGAAGUCUAUCGUACGAUUCGUCCGGUUUCAGGCGACACUUAAAAAUCGUAAAAAAUCAUAGCGCGAAAAUAUUCUCUACGUAAAUCCAUUUUUCAAUGAGACACGGUAAUUUUAAUUAGCCCGCAAAAAAUGUGGAGGGAAGUUUUGUAUUUAGAACGUACCUAUUUUCAUUUAUAAGUAAGCAUAUUUUUAAAUAAAUUAUAAUUGGCCAGUCUCACAUACAUAAAAACUUUUUCUCGCAAUACUUUCUGAGUGACCUGGUAUUUGCUGACUAUAUAUAAAUUAAAAUCAACAGCAAAUAUCAAGCAAAUUUUGGCUAUCGUCCUAUCACAAACUAUAAGAUACCUACGUAAUCAGGGGGCUGGAUAUAUAACCAAUCAAAUUACACGUAUGGUUUAAUAAA